rnacentral:rRNA from 2 species
CAACCUACCCUAAAGACGAGGAUAACCAUUGGAAACAGUGGCUAAGACUGGAUAGGAAGAUAAAAGGCAUCUUUUAUCUUUUAAAAGACCUAGUAAUAGGUAUGCUUUAGGAGGGGCUUGCGCCAUAUUAGUUAGUUGGUAGGGUAAUGGCCUACCAAGACGAUGAUGUGUAGCUGGACUGAGAGGUUGAACAGCCACAUUGGGACUGAGACACGGCCCAAACUCCUACGGGAGGCAGCAGUAGGGAAUUUUCGGCAAUGGAGGAAACUCUGACCGAGCAACGCCGCGUGAAUGACGAAGUACUUCGGUAUGUAAAGUUCUUUUAUCAAGGAAGAAAAGCAAAUGGCGAACCAUUUGUUUGCCGGUACUUGAUGAAUAAGCCCCGGCUAAUUAUGUGCCAGCAGCCGCGGUAAGACAUAAGGGGCAAGUGUUAUCCGGAAUUAUUGGGCGUAAAGGGUGCGUAGGCGGUCUAGUAAGUCAGUGGUGUAAUGGCAACGCUUAACGUUGUCCGGCUAUUGAAACUGCUAAACUUGAGUUAGAUAGAGGCGAGUGGAAUUCCAUGUGUAGCGGUAAAAUGCGUAAAUAUAUGGAGGAACACCAGAGGCGUAGGCGGCUCGCUGGGUCUUAACUGACGCUGAGGCACGAAAGCGUGGGGAGCAAACAGGAUUAGAUACCCUGGUAGUCCACGCCGUAAACGAUGAGUACUAAGUGUCGGGUUAAACCGGUACUGAAGUUAACACAUUAAGUACUCCGCCUGAGUAGUACGUACGCAAGUAUGAAACUUAAAGGAAUUGACGGGACUCCGCACAAGCGGUGGAUCAUGUUGUUUAAUUCGAAGAUACCCGAAAAACCUUACCAGGUCUUGACAUGUUUUUGCAAAAUGAUAGUAAUAUCGUGGAGGUUACCAGAAACACAGGUGGUGCAUGGUUGUCGUCAGCUCGUGUCGUGAGAUGUUAGGUUAAGUCCUAAAACGAGCGAAACCCUUAUCGUUAGUUGCCAGCACGUUAUGGUGGGGACUUUAACGAGACUGCCAAUGAUAAAUUGGAGGAAGGUGAGGAUCACGUCAAAUCAGCAUGCCCCUUAUGACCUGGGCUACAAACGUGAUACAAUGGCUGUUACAAAGGGUAGCUGAAACGCAAGUUCUUGGCCAAUCCCCAAAAACAGUCCCAGUCCGGAUUGAAGUCUGCAACUCGACUUCAUGAAGUUGGAAUCGCUAGUAAUCGCGAAUCAGCAUGUCGCGGUGAAUACGUUCUCGGGGUUUGUACACACCGCCCGUCAAACCACGAAAGUUGGCAAUACCCCAAAACGGUAG